CCAAAUCCCGGUCGACCAAAUCCCUAACCCUCGUUCCCCAUUCAGUGCAGCGGCAGGGCGAGGCAAUAUCGCUCACGGUCGGCGGCGAGGCCGUAUCCUUGCACCACGGCGGCAAGCCUCCGGAGCUCAGGUGAGCUGACGCCGCAUCCUCUUCUUUCCCCCUAUCCAAUCCCUAUCUUAGACACUCUCCCACCCGUGUCUCACUGUUUAGAUGGGAGGAUCUGGCAUUCCGCGGGGUGAAGAUGGAGGACGACGGGGAGCCAUGGGCAAAGAUUACGUCUGUCGUCACUGAAUCCAUCUCCCCUCUCUGGUUCUAUAGUUCAUCAAAGAUUGGUAUUUUAGAUGAUUUGCACGAUUCAAACACAGGACCAUGAGAUGCCAGAUGUGGUGGGUGCAUGCCGCGGCACGAGGUAGAUCACACCUUGCUUGCAAGAAAGAGGUCCUGGAGCAGAGUCUAAAGGAGAAAGAGGUCCUGGAGCAGAGUCUUUGGUUUAGUUGCAAUCAUGUUUGCAAUGGCUGGGAGGUCCUAAUGCAUGAAUGAGCAAUGUUGAAGCUCUUCUUUUGGUGAACUCAGUGUGCUGUAGUAGCUACUUUGUAUGUGUACUGAAUGAAAAUGGCAAUACAAUGAAGCUUCUGAAUUUUACAUGUUUUAUCUGACAUUUCCUGUACUGCAAUGACUGAAAGUGAGCCUGCAUUAUGAUGAAUUCGGUACUAGAUGCACUUUCAGAAAUGUACUAGCUUUUGUGAACUGGACUAGUACAGAAUCUUAUAGGAC
rnacentral:lncRNA from 1 species